rnacentral:rRNA from 1 species
CUCUAACGGGACUGCCCGCGAAAGCGGGAGGAAGGAGGGGACGACGUCCUGGUCAGCAUGGCCCUUACGGCCUGGGCGACACACGUGCUACAAUGCCCACUACAAAGCGAGGCCACCCGGCAACGGGAGCUAAUCGCAAAAAGGUGGGCCCAGUUCGGAUUGGGGUCUGCAACCCGACCCCAUGAAGCCGGAAUCGCUAGUAAUCGCGGAUCAGCCAUGCCGCGGUGAAUACGUUCCCGGGCCUU